UUGUUGUAUUGUUUAUGCUGGUUGGCUGUGAGGAUGACAGGUAAAUUUGUUAGUGACCUUUUUGUCGGGAAAACGACAAUGACGGGGACGAGGAUAUGACACUCAUGCACUAACUCACGUAUCAAAACUCGAGUUGUUGUUACUUCCUGACUGUGACCUCGUCCGCACCCUGAUUGGCCGGAGACUGUAGAGAAUUUUGUUAGAAGUGAUUUCUCGACCUCGAUGUCAUUGUAGCGACUCGGCUUUAAAUUACGGGAAUAUGCUGAAGUUACUUUUGUUUCAGGCUCUGUUGGUACAGACACGAGGGUCGUAAAUUAAAUCUAGUCAUGGUGAAGACGAUGCAGAUGGUUUUUAAAAUUGAAGAUCAUAUUCUUCAUUUGUUAAAAUUGUUAAUAAAAUAUCGGAUUAUUUUUAUGGUAUUUUGUAACUGAUGUUAAUGAGAUUUAAUUAAUGUCAAUAAAUUUUUCCAUGUACUUCAAUAUGGCCUAU